rnacentral:lncRNA from 1 species
GAUGUGAUUCCGCUCGUAAGUGUCAACAUGACAUUUCAGGCGGAAUCGGCCUUUGGAGCGAAAUCAGCAUUUACAUAACAUAAAUCUUGAAAUUUUCUCGAUCUACGUGCCCUGAUCUAUACAAUCUAAUCUAAGACUCGAUACAAGACGAAGUCGACAGAUGCAUGCACCAACAAUUUGUUUUUUAUAAUAAUCAUUAAUCUAUUUCUAAAUUUUAAAUUCCAAAUCCUAGGGACAACUAUGAUCUCAAAUCAUCAAGGAUUUUAGUUAUGAUAUUGGUUGAAAAAAAAUAUUUCCUACAAAAUUAAGUUUUUUGAUCCCAAAUCUAUUUUUCAUUUUUCAUUUUUACUCUUAAUUUUUGUGUGAAACGUACCUCUUUAUUUUUAUUAUAUAUUAUCUAACCUAACAAUUUAAGUAUUAAAGAUACAAAUAUUAUUUUGUAGUUGUUUUGUCCCUCCAGCUUCUGGCUAGAGGGUCUGUUUUAUUGAAGUGUUGCCUUAAAAAAAUACAAAUAUAACACUAACUUAUGCGCAAAAAAUGUGAAUGAUCCGGGUACCAAUAAGUCAUUAAACUAAUCUCAACGUGGAUCAUUCAAAUAAAAGAUACACACAUUUUAGAGAUAUGCAGAACAAAAAAUCUGUCUAAAAAAUAAAAAUAAUGAAAGUCGCGUGUCAGUUUUGGAAGUCACCUAAAAAGUGAUUUUCCCGUCUCUUUCUCAUAUUAAUUAUUUGAUAUUACGUGUCGAAUUAUUUAAAAUAAAUAUUUAUUCAACAUGUGUAAUAAACAGGUCCAAAAUCUAAUAUAUACACACACACCCUCUAUCUCUAUCACUCUCUAGUUAACAUUAUAUUUGAAAAUAAAAAAUUGAAAACCCAUAUGAGUUGAGUAAAACCGUGAAAACCUGUCAAACAAUCAUAUCUAUAUAUUUAUGUAAUAUAUAUUAUUAUAGGUAUUAAAAAAUGAAAGUAAAAACUUUUUCCACGUAACUGUUACCCUUAGUGUAAAAAUGUGGUUGUGUAAUGUUUUAUACACGGUUUUACCCAUGUUGGUGCAAGUUUGUGAUUGUGCAUGUUUAUCUCAAGGGCUUUUUUUUUGUUUUUCAACAAUUAAUAAAUAG